AUGGCCUCUGUUAUCUCCACAAAGACCUUUGUCCAACCAAGGCUGGCCAUAGAGAAGAGUGAGAGGACAUCCAUGGAGGGCCCAAGAAGAACCUGCAAGUUCCCUCUGCUGGGCCAGACAAAUAGACCCUCUCUCAGCCUUUUAGACCAGAAGGGACCUCCAUUCCAGCCAGAGAUCACAGACAACAGGUAUCCUUCUUGACCCACUGCCAUCCAUUAUCCUGUUGCUUAAAAUCCUUCUGUGGCCUCCUAUUACCUAGAACAAGGUUAGCAAAUUACAGCCCAG
rnacentral:lncRNA from 13 species